CCCUUAGAUGAUUUGGGCUGCACGCGCGCUACACUGACCCUAACAAUGAGCAACUGUCUGGCCUGAGAUGGCUGGGUAGCCUUUUCAACCCAUGUCAUGAUUGGGCUAGAUUUUUGUAAGUCUUGAUCUCUAACGAGGAAUCCCUAGUAUGCGUGAAUCAUCAAUCCAUGCAGAUUAUGUCCCUGCCCUUUGUACACACCGCCCGUCGCUACUACUGAUUGGAUGUUUAAGCGAGGUUCUCGAACUGCUAGCGACUUAGCUUCGGUGAGGUCGCAGUGUGGGAAGUGAACCUAGCUUUGGUGUCUAGAGGAAGUAAAAGUCGUAACA
rnacentral:rRNA from 1 species